UGGGGAAUAUUGGACAAUGGGCGGAAGCCUGAUCCAGCCAUGCCGCGUGUGUGAAGAAGGCCUUUUGGUUGUAAAGCACUUUAAGCGAGGAGGAGGCUACUUGGAUUAAUACUCUAGGAUAGUGGACGUUACUCGCAGAAUAAGCACCGGCUAACCCUGUGCCAGCAGCCGCGGUAAUACAGAGGGUGCGAGCGUUAAUCGGAUUUACUGGGCGUAAAGCGUGCGUAGGCGGCUUCUUAAGUCGGAUGUGAAAUCCCUGAGCUUAACUUAGGAAUUGCAUUCGAUACUGGGAAGCUAGAGUAUGGGAGAGGAUGGUAGAAUUCCAGGUGUAGCGGUGAAAUGCGUAGAGAUCUGGAGGAAUACCGAUGGCGAAGGCAGCCAUCUGGCCUAAUACUGACGCUGAGGUACGAAAGCAUGGGGAGCAAACAGG
rnacentral:rRNA from 1 species